rnacentral:rRNA from 1 species
UCGUGGAUUAAUCUGUCUGGUUAAUUCCGAUAACGAACGAGACCUCAACCGCUCAUUAGGUGGACAGCUUUGCGAAGCUGUUCUAGCGCUUCGGCGCGUUACUUCUUAGCGGGACUAUCCGCGCUUAAGCGGAGGGAAGUUUGAGGCAAUAACA